rnacentral:rRNA from 1 species
GGAGGUAGUGACAAUAAAUCACAAUGCGGGACUCCUAGUCUUGCAAUUGGAUUGAGAACAACGUACAACUCUUAUCGAUAAGCCAUUGGAGGGCAAGUCUGGUGCCAGCAGCCGCGGUAAUUCCAGCUCCAAUAGCGUAUAUUAACGUUGUUGCAGUUAAAAAGCUCGUAGUUGAAGUGAGGGAGUGUGUAGUAGGACCGACUUGAUCGGAACUGCUGCAACCUCCCCCCUCCAAUCGGUGUAGUGGGGUAUUCAGUUAUUCUACUACUCCUUUGGUCGUUUACUGUGAGAAAAUUAGAGUGUUCAAAGCGGGCGUUUGUUUGAAUAGAUUAGCAUGGAAUAAUGAUUGAAGGCUUUCGUGUUCGAUUUGAUUGGUUUGUUCAUGGAAGCAAGGUUAAAAGGAACAGUUGGGGGUAUUCAUAUUCACUAGUUAGAGGUGAAAUUCUCGGAUUUAUGGAAGAUGAACAAGUGCGAAAGCA